GCAUCGAUGAAGAACGCAGCGAAAUGCGAUAAGUAGUGUGAAUUGCAGAAUUCAGUGAAUCAUCGAAUCUUUGAACGCACAUUGCGCCCUUUGGUAUUCCUUAGGGCAUGCCUGUUCGAGCGUCAUCUAAACCUUCAAGCACUGCUUGGUGUUGGGUGCCUGUCCCGCCCCCGCGCGUGGACUCACCUCAAAUCCAUUGGCGGCCCUCACGUCGGCUUCGAGCGCAGCAGAAACGCGAACUCGACGCCCGUCGGAGCGGCUCCCAGAAGCUACAUUCACCAUUUUGACCUCGGAUCAGGUAGGGAUACCCGCUGAACUUAAGCAUAUCAAUAAGCGGAGGAC
rnacentral:misc_RNA from 1 species